UAAAAAGUAAAAUGUAAAUUAGUUUUGCGUUAUUUCAAGUGUAAUAAGAUAUCUGCAGUAGAAACAAGACUAAACAUACUUAGUAAAGUUUGGU